rnacentral:lncRNA from 1 species
AGUGUGGUGUGAAUGCAGUGCAUUCUGGACACAGGGCAGGUGUAGACACAGUGUAGGUUUUGGCACCAUGCAGGUUGAACAUAGUACAGGUGUGGACACGGUCAGGUGCAGACACAAUGCAUGUGUGUAGUUGCAGGGCUGGAUUACGUGGGACUGACCUGGGCGUGUUCCCAGGCCCCUGGCUGUGAUAUGUGUGUGCUGUGGAGACAGAGAGAGGUUGUUUCCACACUCCUUCCUUCUAUGUCUCCAUGGCCUUCACCUUCCAGGGGCAGCCAUGCCGAAGCUGGUUAAAUGGAGGUGUGGGGACGAGAAACAUCUGAGUCUGCUGUUGCCUGUGGCCUGAGAAUGCCUGAGGACAAGAUUAGAGGCAGAAACAGCGUGAUCCAAGAGCAUGUUCUCUUGAGGCAUUUCCCGCUUCAGGAACCCUGAGUUAUCCACGACAAGGGAAGAUGGGAUUUUCUAUAGAAGAAAAAUACAUUUUUUUUUUUUGCAAAAUCCACAGCAAUAGUAGGUGUCACACGUGUCUACAUAUCUCUGCAUUAUUCUGGUGGCCACAGUGCUGACUGGGUGCAGCCACUGCUUCCCUCUCUAGAUGUGCGUCUCCAACAAGAACACAAUGCCACCUGGAGAUGCCUGGCCUCGCAGGCAGAGUCCCCAGUGGGUAUCCCUGAUGACACAGGGGGACCCCUCCAGGGCCAGCCCAUGUUGUCGUUGCUGGUCCAUGGAGGUCUCUAUAUUCAUGUCUGUGUUUCUGAGAUUGUCAGGAGACAGGAGAGUGUGGGCAGAAAUGCCAGGAGUGAGAGCCUAGUCCCGACCCAGACGCAGCCUCCAUCCUGGCCUGCAGCCUUCUGUCUUCUCGCCUCGGGCCCCAGACAGUAGGAAUUCGUUUGCACCUUUGUUUAUCUGUUCACCUAUUCUUUCAAACACACAAUGUGUUCAGCGUUUCCUAUGUGCAAUGCCAUCAUUAAUCAUUAGAUCAUUAAUUGUUUCUGCCCUGGGGAGGCUUUAAUGGACUAUACGUUGGGGUAU